UGUGUAGGCGGCUUUCUAAGUUUGUUGUGAAACCUCCCGGCUUAACCGGGAGGGUGCGGCGAAGACUGGAAGGCUAGAGUAUGGGAUGGGAGAGUGGAAUUCCUGGUGUAGCGGUGAAAUGCGUAGAUAUCAGGAGGAACACCUGCGGUGUAGACGGCUCUCUGGACCAUUACUGACGCUGAGACACGAAAGCGUGGGUAGCAAACAGGAUUAGAUACCCUGGUAGUCCACGCCCUAAACGAUGCAUAUUUGGUGUGGGCCAUUCAUUUGGUCUGUGCCGGAGCUAACGCGUUAAAUAUGCCGCCUGGGGAGUACAGUCGCAAGGCUGAA
rnacentral:rRNA from 1 species